AAAGUCCAGUUAUGGAAGGAGAAGCUAGAUCCACCAUAUAGCGAGUCUUGUGCUGCUGAAGGUAACUACAGUAGUAAAGCGUAGACAGUGAAACAUUCGAGCCGAAACCAAAUGGUGAACGUGAUAGCCCUGAAAGUGAGAUGUAGUGGAAGCCGAUAUGUUCUAGCACAUAGUAGGCAAAAGAAGAUUGGAGGUCAAACUAGUAAAAAUCCAAAAAUUUUCAACCACCGGGGUCGCAGGCGU
rfam:Orientia tsutsugamushi Boryong complete genome